rnacentral:rRNA from 1 species
UAGUAACGGCGAGUGAAGCGGCAACAGCUCAAAUUUGAAAUCUGGCCCUCGGGUCCGAGUUGUAAUUUGUAGAGGAUGCUUUUGGCGCGGUGCCUUCCAAGUUCCCUGGAACGGGACGCCUUAGAGGGUGAGAGCCCCGUACGGUUGGACACUAAGCCUCUGUAAUGCUCCUUCGACGAGUCGAGUAGUUUGGGAAUGCUGCUCUAAGUGGGAGGUAAACUUCUUCUAAAGCUAAAUAUCGGCCAGAGACCGAUAGCGCACAAGUAGAGUGAUCGAAAGAUGAAAAGCACUUUGAAAAGAGGGUUAAAUAGCACGUGAAAUUGUUGAAAGGGAAGCGUUUGCGACCAGACUUUCUCCGGGCAAAUCAUCCGGUGUUCUCACCGGUGCACUUCGCCUGGUUUAGGCCAGCAUCGGUUUUCGUAGGGGGAUAAAGGCCUGGGGAAUGUAGCUCUUUAGGGAGUGUUAUAGCCCCUCGCGUAAUACCUUUACGGGGACCGAGGACCGCGCUUCGGCAAGGAUGUUGGCAUAAUGGUCGUCAACGACCCGUCUUGAAACACGGACCAAGGAGUCGAACAUUUGUGCGAGUGUUUGGGUGUUAAACCCUCACGCGUAAUGAAAGUGAACGGAGGUGAGAGCCCUUACGGAUGCAUCAUCGACCGAUCCUGAUGUCUUCGGAUGGAUUUGAGUAAGAGCAUAACUGUUCGGACCCGAAAGAUGGUGAACUAUGCGUGGAUAGGGUGAAGCCAGAGGAAACUCUGGUGGAGGCUCGCAGCGGUUCUGACGUGCAAAUCGAUCGUCAAAUCUGCGCAUGGGGGCGAAAGACUAAUCGAACCAUGAAAAAAACCAGCGGUAGAAAAACCUUUUACUAGGUGGUUUAGAGGCCCUCCGUAAGGGAGCGCCUAGGUGACACUUACCCUGUAGCUCCGUCGGGUGAAGCUGGGACGGGUGAAACCGACACCACUAAAUUGCGGGGACAUCCUAUAGAGGCCACGGGCUACCGCCGGGCGCUGAAAAGCGUGUGCUGGCACCAAGAAUAGCGCUCUUGGGUACGGUAAUAAUGCCCUGUGGUAACGGACAACCUGCAGCCAACCCCGUACUUUUGUAGGGGAGAGUUCACUGACUAGACAGUGGUGGGUCGUCCCAAGCCCUUGGGACUGGCUUAAGAUAUAGUCG